GAAGGCUGGGAGGCAAAAUGAGAGCACAUAGAGGGAGCAGGCGACUGUUUCCGGUGGGCACAGGAGCUCUCCCCCUGUCUGUGUCUUACAGAAGUGCUCAUCACAGGGUCUUGCAGAAGCAGGAGGUGCGCUCCCUGAGAGGACCCCACACACGUCCGGUAGGACGCGCAUCCUCAGGAGUGAAGAGCCUCGGCACCGUGGAGACAGGAGCUGCUUUCAGCAGAUGUGGAUAGGGAGGUCUUGUUGGUGACACCGUGGGCUGCACUGGAAAGAAGCACCAGGCUCAAAUUUACCUAAGGCAAAAUGACGCCACAGCAGCUCAAGAAAGGAUCAUUCGUGGCUGACAGAAUCCAGUCCGUGACCCACUGACCCUAUCCAAGGCUUUGGCCCUGCAGUGGGACAGCACAUCAUGGCCCGUGCACAUGGCGUAGCGAAGCUGCUCACCUCAUGGCCAGGAAGUGGAGAAGAGAGGAAGAGACUGGGGACACGCUAUCCCCUUCACAGAUAAGCCCCCAAAGACCUGCAGGCCUCCCACUAGGUGUCACCUCUGAAAGUUCCCACCAUCGCCCAACAGCGUCAAGCAGAGGCCAGGUCUUUAACACAUGGAUGGGCCUUUGCAGUCCUUUCAGUUACAUGUACAUAUCUCACUUUCUUUUUAAACCAUCAAAGUCAUGGUUAAUUUAGUUGUUAAUACCCCACAUGUCUUAACAGUGCAUCUAUGAUCUUAUUAUCAAACCAGUUCAUGACUGUAUCUAUUAACCAGUGUGGUAUCUUCUGGUUAAGCAAGCGGUUGCUCCAGCCUACUUGCCAAAGACUGAGUGAGAAGUCAGGAUAGCUGACAAUCUGUCAGGGCACCAGUGCUGGGUGAAAUUGCCCCUGCAGACAGUGUUCCUUUUGUUCUCAUUCUCUGCCCAUCAAGCCAGCACCUGCCCUUCUCUUUGGAACAGUGCGCCAAGACCAGCCUGCUCUGAGGGAGGUCCCUGAGGAAGUGAUUGGCCCUGAUUUCCAAGCCAUUGUCCUCCCAUGGAAAACAAUUACUACCACUUACACAGAAAGGUGCUCCCGCUGUAGGUAACUGAAAUAUCUGAUUUGGGAAGGGUGCACACCAGGACUGGAUCUGGGAUGGUGAUGGGUGGCGAGGGCAGAUGAGGAAGAAGGCUGUCACAAUAAGCUAGAGGUGACGGUAGCUCAGAGCAGCACAGCAGAGGCAGAGGAAAGCAGGCUCGCUGACUGAAUUCUGAGUGGUUGGGUUGCAAGUCAUUGAGAUUUUCCUAUAGACUAGAUGGAAAUCUUAUUUGGGGUCAAGCACACCUCUCCCUCACAUGCUUCUGACUAGAGGUUUGCAGGCCUCAUCUAAGGGGCUGUGGCUGGUUUAUUGUAUCUGUCCGGAUAGUUAGGCUGUAUAUGUAGCAAACAACCCCAUCAUCUCUGUGGAUUACAGAGCAGGCUUAUCUGUCCCUCCUCCCCCUUCAUCCCCUUCGUCUCAUUCCCAACACAGCCCAGUUUAUUGCACUACUCAGGAGCUCACAAGGAUAGGGGCCAAUCCCAGCACCUUCCACAAUCACCACUGUGGAAGAGAGGAAACAAACUUGGUGAACCACAGCACAUCUGCUCACAUUUACUAGGCAAAGCAACACCUAACUCCUUAUCACUGCAUUUGGUGCAUGAGUCAGCCCCUAGAUAAUAUUUAAUGGAUGGAAGCCAGUUUCAGGUUGUAUGAAUUUGACGGCUCCACUCAGGAAAUGCUCUCAGGAAGGUUGUGCCUAUUCAGUUCCUCCACCGUUCAUCCCGUGUGUGUAAACAGGUCUGCAUCUACACGUCCAAGAUGCGCAUUCACACACAGGUGUACCGUGUCGUAGAGGCCAGAGAAGACGACAUCAAAAUGUCUUUGGGCCCUGCACGUACCCUAUAGGAGUAUUUCUGGACAAACGCUUCACAGGGGCAGAGUAGAGCAAAGGGAAACAUGGGCUUUGGAAUCAGUUAGACUUGCCCAUUACUGAUUCUGCGAUGAAGCCAUAUCAACUGUUCUCCCUCUCAGCCUUAGCACCCUCACCUGUAAAAUACACACAAUGUAGACCAUAUCCCUAUGUAAAAGGAAGGACCCAGACACCUUACAGGUGGUCCACAAGUGGCAGUUGAUGUUUAUUUUCACCUCUUUAGCUAAAAAACAUAUAUUUUGAAUAUCUAGCUAGAAAUGGCAUGUAUAAACAUUCCUACUACUCAAAAUUUCUUGUGAA